rnacentral:rRNA from 1 species
UACGUAGGGUGCAAGCGUUAAUCGGAAUUACUGGGCGUAAAGCGUGCGCAGGCGGUUUUGUAAGUCUGACGUGAAAUCCCCCGGGCUUAACCUGGGAAUUGCGUUGGAGACUGCAAGGCUGGAGUCUGGCAGAGGGGGGUAGAAUUCCACGUGUAGCAGUGAAAUGCGUAGAGAUGUGGAGGAACACCGAUGGCGAAGGCAGCUCGCUGGGACGGUACUGACGGCGUGAGACGGCGAAAAGCG